UAAGGAUGUGAAUUGGCUUUAAGCAGUAGA
rnacentral:piRNA from 1 species